AGUUUUCGGACAACGGAAGGUGAGGACAGUGGCGGACGGGUGAGUAACACGUAAACAACCUGCCUUCAGGAUGGGGACAACAGUUGGAAACGACUGCUAAUACCGCAUGACACAUAGAGAUCGCAUGGUUUUUAUGUCAAAGAUUUAUCGCUGAAAGAUGGCCUCGCGUCUGAUUAGCUAGUUGGUGAGGUAACGGCCCACCAAGGCGACGAUCAGUAGCCGGACUGAGAGGUUGACCGGCCACACUGGAACUGAGACACGGUCCAGACUCC
rnacentral:rRNA from 1 species